rnacentral:rRNA from 1 species
AUUGAACGCUGGCGGCAUGCCUUACACAUGCAAGUCGAACGGUAACAGGUCUUCGGACGCUGACGAGUGGCGAACGGGUGAGUAAUACAUCGGAGCGUGCCCAGUCGUGGGGGAUAACUACUCGAAAGAGUAGCUAAUACCGCAUACGAUCUGAGGAUGAAAGCGGGGGACCUUCGGGCCUCGCGCGAUUGGAGCGGCCGAUGGCAGAUUAGGUAGUUGGUGGGAUAAAAGCUUACCAAGCCGACGAUCUGUAGCUGGUCUGAGAGGACGACCAGCCACGCUGGGACUGAGACACGGCCCAGACUCCUACGGGAGGCAGCAGUGGGGAAUUUUGGACAAUGGGCGAAAGCCUGAUCCAGCAAUGCCGCGUGCAGGAUGAAGGCCUUCGGGUUGUAAACUGCUUUUGUACGGAACGAAAAAGUCUCCUCUAAUACAGGAGGCCCAUGACGGUACCGUAAGAAUAAGCACCGGCUAACCACGUGCCAGCCGCCGCCGUAACAC